AAAACGAUGCCGUAUUACACUCACGACGACGAUGACGUGGAUGAGUUCAACGAUUACGAUCCGACGCCGUAUAGCGGAGGCUACGACAUCACCGUGACCUACGGCCGCGCAAUCCCGCCGUCCGACGAGACUUGUUACCCUCUUUCGUCUCGAUCCGGUGACGCCUUCGAGUACCAGCGACCUGUCUUUUCCUCCAAUCAUGAGCCUCCUGCCUAUGGCGACCAGGCUCUCAAGACCGAGUACAGUAGCUAUGCCCGGCCCGGAGGUCACGGAGGCGCUCACGUCGAAGGUGAAUACGGUGGAAGGAAACCGGAGCAUGGCGGAUCUGGAUCUGAUUUUGGCCGGAAACCUGAAUCUGGGUAUGGCGGAAGAACGGAGGUCGAGUACGGACGGAGACCUGAAUCUGGGUAUGGCGGAAGAACGGAGGUUGAGUAUGGCCGGAAACCUGAAUCGGAGCACGGAUCUGGGUAUGGUGGGAGAAUGAAGUCUAAGGAAGAGGAAGAUGGAGACUACAGGAAGCCCAGCUAUGGCCAUCGCAAGGAUAAUGAU
rnacentral:lncRNA from 1 species